rnacentral:lncRNA from 1 species
CAUCUUCGAGUGCAGCAAGGGCAGCAACAGCUGCUAGCCUUCCUCGUCUAUUACGUCACUAAUUUAACGUCAAAAUUCUUCCAAACACAACACAUGUAGUUCAAAACCAAUCAUUCGCACGAACAACCUGGCUCUGAUACCACUGUUGGGAAAUCUUGGGGACGACAUCACAUGCAUAGAGGAAGAACAAAAAAAAAAA